rnacentral:misc_RNA from 1 species
AAAUGCGAUAAGUAGUGUGAAUUGCAGAAUUUAGCGAAUCAUCGAAUCUUUGAACGCACAUUGCGCCCCUUGGUAUUCCAUGGGGCAUACCUGUUCGAGCGUCAUUUCAACCCUCAAGCACUGCUUGGUGUUGGGCGUUUGUCCCGCCUACGCGCGUGGACUCGCCUCAAAGUCAUUGGCAGCUGUUCCCCUUCGGCUCGUAAGCGCAGCACAGUCGGCGCCCGGAGCUCUGGUGGGAUGGCGUCCAGCAAGCUAUAUUUUCAGGCUUGACCUCGGAUCAGGUAGGGAUACCCGCUGAACUUAAGC